AUGGCUCAGAUUGAACGCUGGCGGCAGGCUUAAUACAUGCAAGUCGAACGGUAACAGCAGGAAGCUUGCUUCCUGGCUGACGAGUGGCGGACGGGUGAG
rnacentral:rRNA from 1 species